CCGCCCGCCGCCCGCAGGGGUCGAGGCUGCGGAGGCGGGGCUCGAGUUCUCGUGCGUGAAGGUCCAUAUCCCAGAAGAAAGGGAGAGAGUGUCCUAGAGUCGCCUCCUCAGGCCUUCCCUGAAGGUAGAAAAGGUUGAAAACUCCAAGUAGUAGGAGACACAGCAUAAUAAUAGAAGAGACUGAGCCUUCCUGAGAGUCUUCACCUCUGCUGAAUGCCACUUUGAAGGGAAAGAAGAAGUCAAAUGGCAGUUUCCAGUCAAUUCUGGGCUGGCCCCUUGGAGGCUCUGGCUUCUGUGUAAUGUCCACAAAGGUCACAAUAGUUGUCAGAGGUACUUCUGUUACUAGUUGGUAAUCCUGCAGGAAGAAAAUAAAUGAAAGGCAUACAGAAUUAAGGCACCCAACCCUGUUGUGAGGAAAAGCUAAAGUUACUUUACUUCUGACCUACAUGCCAUCAAAGUUUUUUGCUUAUCUGGGAUGUAAAUGCAAUGACUAACAGGAAGAAAAAAACAAAGAUGAUGCCAAAGGUCAAAACUUGGAUGACUGGAAGAACUGCGGCAACCUUAUCCAAGAUAAGGAAAUCUGGAAGAAGGACUAAUUUGGGCUAGGAAGAGCAGGCUCCAUCCCCCAGGCUCUGCAAGAGUGUCAUCUGAGGUGGAAGUGGCGGUCAAGGAGAUCAUAACAGAAAAGAACAUAGGCAGGACUGGAAAAUAUUGGAUAAAUCAGGAGAGACAGAAUGGAGGAACAGAAGUUUACUAUUCUUUUCAGAUUUUCGGAUGACACUGUGUCAAAAGAAAAUGUGACAGCCAAAAAGAACAAAUAGAAGACUGCCUGUGGGCAAAGAAAGUCAGAUACAUCAGUCUAGAGUGCUCUUCUGAGGUCAGCAUCCUUACCUGGGAAACAACGUUCUGACAAGUGUUUCCAGACAACAGAGGAGAACCAGCCUGUGAGAUAAGCGUUACAGGCACCUGGAAAUAACAAGGGAAAAAUGUGAACCAACUGAAAUUGAAAGCAGCAUUUUCUCUCCCACCUACAUAUCAUGCUGCAAUGAAUAUUUUUCCUUCUUGACUGUCCCCUUUCUCUCUCCUUCCAUUACCAGCCUACAAGUUAAAUUCAAAGGUCAUUCUAGAUCAGCACUUCUCAAAACAUAUUGUUUAGAAUAUUAAUCCUACUAGAUAUAAAAUAAGGAUUUCAUGUUCAAAUGAGUUUUAGAAAUACUGGGUUCUAUACUCCCCUCGGAGAGAUUAACAAAGCCUUCUAGCAUAGUAACAACUCCAAGAAGUCUACCCUAAAUAAUGUGCUUAACUUUAUUUAAUAUGAUUUUUCCAAACUUACUUAACACAGAAUCCUUAUUUCAUAUGAUACUUACUAGUUGUAGAGAACACAUUGGAAAACACAGUCCUAGAUCUAUACUUAACUGUUUGAUACAUCACACAUACAUUUUCUUUCACCAUUACAAUUUAGACUGAAAUUACCUCAGAUGCAAAGGGAGAAAAGAUUCUUUUCUCGAUAAAAACAUCAUACCUUCAUAUUCUGCAGAUCAGUCAUACCUCUUGGAACCUAGAAUAAGAGAAGGGCAGAGACAUGAGUGUGCAUAUAACUUACAAAAAAUCACGAGGAAAUUAUGGUUUCAUAUUACUACCAAUAGGCUUUGGUUUUUGGGGAAAAAUCAACAUAUUAGAAUGGUUCAUUUCCUUUCUUCCACCUGACUCUUCUUUACACUAAAAUACCAGGCAAUCGAGCUGGAGAGGGGUUGGGUGGACCGAAAUGCCCACCUCCUAUGAGCAGGGCUCUAUCAAACAGCAAAACGAAGUUUGGGUGAAAUAGUGAGAUGUUACCCCCCCUCCCCCAACUCCGUCCAAGCCAAUCCCAUUAGCCAGGAGGGUAAUAAUCUCUUAUCCAGCCUAUAUAUUCCUAAUUCUUUAGUCUUUCUUCAGAUGAUAGUGUUUCCAGGCUCUCUGCCUUUUAGGUAGUGCUUGGGGAUACUGACUCACUUCACUGCUCUUUCUACAUCCCACCAAAAGUGGGAAGAAUGACAAAGUGGGGAGAUACAGGGACACUCACCUUCAAAACUGUGAAGUUAAAGUAAGAGGCAGCAUCAAGGGCUGGAUUUGAGGUACAGCUACUCGUCAGGUUCUUAAAGAAACGAGUGCAAGUUGUACUUUUACUCUGGAGGAAACCUUAGAACACAAAGAAUUAAAGGAAUGAUAAAUAAAAUCAUCUAUUUUAAAACUGAAAAAAAGGCUGGUACUUCUGGCCCAUACUCACCUGCAGGAUUGUUCUCGGCACAGAGCCCCCCAGCUCCAGCUCCUGCAGGCUGUCUCAGUAAGCUGAUUAAAGACCACUUGGAGAAGUAAGUCAGAAUGGGGUCCCCAGCCUAAACAAGGAUUUAGGAGAAUUUUAUUCACAAUGAGAUCAGACUGAACCAAAUGAGAAUAGAAAAAAGAUGAAACAAGGGUUAACUCAACAGCCCAUUAAUGUGGACAACAUUGCCCUCCAAAAGAAUGGGCAAUGGAGAAAACCAAAACUAUCCCAUCCCCUUCCCCAGGCUCACCCUAUAAAAAGGUGAUGGCAACUGGGUUUGGAAUGUUGAAAUGAAUGACUCGCCUCCAAACUGUGCAGCCAGGGCCUGGAAGUUGGUUGCGUUGACCUUUUGGAGCGUCUGGAAAUAGUUUAAUUUUGCUAAAAUGUUUUUAAAGAGAAAGGGGUUUAGAGAAAAGAAAAACUUUUAUUUUCAAAUAUGUGAUAUACCAAAUAACUAAUUUUUAAAUAAAAAAUGUUUUUAU